GAGAAUAACCUCGGGAAACUGAGGCUAAUGAGCCAUAGACAUUCUAUGACUGAAUACUUGAAUGUUGAAAGCGCAAAGCGCCCAAGGAUGAGUCUGCGGCCUAUCAUGGUUGUAGGCGGUGUAAUGGACCACCUAGCUAUGACGGGUACGGGCACUGAGAGGUGGAGCCCGGAGAUGGACUCUGAGACACGAGUCCAGGCCCUACGGGGCGCAGCAGGCGCGAAAACUACGCACUGCGCGAAAGCGCGACGUGGGAAACCCGAGUGCCUUUUCUUUUUUGAAAAGGCUUUUCUCAAGCCUAAAAAGCUUGGGGAAUAAGAGCUGGGCAAGACGGGUGCCAGCCGCCGCGGUAAUACCCGCAGCUCGAGUGGUAGCCGCUAUUAUUGAGCCUAAAGCGUUUGUAGCCGGCUUUGUAAAUCCUUGGGUAAAUCGAGUCGCUUAACGGUUCGAAUUUCAGGGAGACUGCAAGGCUAGAGACCGGGAGAGGUCAGAGGUACUUUCGAGGUAGGAGUAAAAUCCCGUAAUCCCGAAGGGACCACCUGUGGCGAAGGCGUCUGACUAGAACGGCUCUGACGGUGAGGAACGAAGGCUAGGGGAGCAAACAGGAUUAGAUACCCUGGUAGUCCACGCUGUAAACGAUGUGUGCUGGAUGUUGGGGAACUUAGUUUCUCAGUGUCGUAGCUAACGCGAUAAGCACACCGCCUGGGGAGUACGGCCGC
rnacentral:rRNA from 1 species